CUACAUUCAGGACCUACAGUAGCAGAGGAGACUGGCCUGUAUCCAAAUGAUCCACAGCAUUGGGGCAGAAAGCUUUGUUCCCUGAGAAGACUCUCUGAGCUGCCUCCCACACAAACAACAGCAGCAUCAACAUCAGCAACAACAAGAGACAUAUUUUGGACUCCACACGUUUUGGAUUCCAGAUUUUGAUCUUGCAGAAAAAAAAGAACUCAAAAGUCCAAGAAGUUUGAGAAGUGACAACCCAUCUAAUAAAGGUACAAUACUCCCAUAUUUUUCUCUUUUCAUCAAUGCAUCAUGACCCUAACUGGCAAAAUGUCUAGCCAAUGACUCCUCCUCUUGCCAGGCUAUAGUUCUUUUUCUCCCUCAUCUUUGCACAGUUCCACUAUAUAUGUUCUAUAUGUGUAAUAUAGCUCCAAAUUGUAUUAUUAUGUUUUUAAAUGUAAUUUUAUCAUUUGAUGUUUGCUAGUCUUGUCUCCCCAGUCAGAGUACGAACUACUUCAGAGUGGAGAUUAUAAUAUUAAUAAUAUUGCAUAUUAGUGAUAUAACAUAUUGGAUUAUUAAUACAAUAUAAUAAUAUGGCAUUAUAGUGAUGACAUGCAAUAUUAAAAAUAGGGUAUGUAAUACUAUCACAUUAUAUGUAAAAUAUGAUAUGUAUCACUAAUAAUAUAUUAUAAGUAUACAAUAUUAUUAUAUAAUAAUAAAUAUGUAAUAUUUCUUUAUCUCCUAAAACA
rnacentral:lncRNA from 1 species